rnacentral:misc_RNA from 1 species
AAUUCUCAACCUAACUAGCUUUUGCGAGCUUGGAUAGGCUUGGAUGUGGGGGCUUUGCGGGCUUCACUUUGAAAGUCAGCUCCCCUUAAAUGCAUUAGUGGAACCCUUUGUUGACUUGCUCCUGGUGUGAUAAUUAUCUACAUCGUGUGCAGUCGGCUGUUUUAAUGGGGCUUUUCUGCUUCUAACUCGUAUCACCCUUUUAUUACGGGGAAACGCUUUUGACC